rnacentral:rRNA from 1 species
UACAGAGGGUGCAAGCGUUAAUCGGAAUUACUGGGCGUAAAGCGUGCGUAGACGGUUAUGUAAGUCAGAUGUGAAAGCCCCGGGCUCAACCUGGGAAUUGCAUUUGAGACUGCAUAGCUAGGGUGCGGAAGAGGGAAGCGGAAUUUCCGGUGUAGCGGUGUAAAUGCGUAGAUAUCGGAAGGAACACCAGUGGCGAAAGCGGCUUCCUGGUCCAGCACCGACGUUCAGGCACGAAAGCGUGGGGAGCAAACAGG